ACCUUUUGUAUAAUGGGUCAGCGACUUAUAUUCUGUAGCAAGGUUAACCGAAUAGGGGAGCCGAAGGGAAACCGAGUCUUAACUGGGCGUUAAGUUGCAGGGUAUAGACCCGAAACCCGGUGAUCUAGCCAUGGGCAGGUUGAAGGUUGGGUAACACUAACUGGAGGACCGAACCGACUAAUGUUGAAAAAUUAGCGGAUGACUUGUGGCUGGGGGUGAAAGGCCAAUCAAACCGGGAGAUAGCUGGUUCUCCCCGAAAGCUAUUUAGGUAGCGCCUCGUGAAUUCAUCUCCGGGGGUAGAGCACUGUUUCGGCAAGGGGGUCAUCCCGACUUACCAACCCGAUGCAAACUGCGAAUACCGGAGAAUGUUAUCACGGGAGACACACGGCGGGUGCUAACGUCCGUCGUGAAGAGGGAAACAACCCAGACCGCCAGCUAAGGUCCCAAAGUCAUGGUUAAGUGGGAAACGAUGUGGGAAGGCCCAGACAGCCAGGAUGUUGGCUUAGAAGCAGCCAUCAUUUAAAGAAAGCGUAAUAGCUCACUGGUCGAGUCGGCCUGCGCGGAAGAUGUAACGGGGCUAAACCAUGCACCGAAGCUGCGGCAGCGACGCUUAUGCGUUGUUGGGUAGGGGAGCGUUCUGUAAGCCUGUGAAGGUGUACUGUGAGGUAUGCUGGAGGUAUCAGAAGUGCGAAUGCUGACAUAAGUAACGAUAAAGCGGGUGAAAAGCCCGCUCGCCGGAAGACCAAGGGUUCCUGUCCAACGUUAAUCGGGGCAGGGUGAGUCGACCCCUAAGGCGAGGCCGAAAGGCGUAGUCGAUGGGAAACAGGUUAAUAUUCCUGUACUUGGUGUUACUGCGAAGGGGGGACGGAGAAGGCUAUGUUGGCCGGGCGACGGUUGUCCCGGUUUAAGCGUGUAGGCUGGUUUUCCAGGCAAAUCCGGAAAAUCAAGGCCGAGGCGUGAUGACGAGGCACUACGGUGCUGAAGCAACAAAUGCCCUGCUUCCAGGAAAAGCCUCUAAGCAUCAGGUAACAUCAAAUCGUACCCCAAACCGACACAGGUGGUCAGGUAGAGAAUACCAAGGCGCUUGAGAGAACUC
rnacentral:rRNA from 1 species